GAAAAACAUAUACAUGCAUUCAUGAAUUUUGUUGUUGUAUAUUGGAUAUUCCAAUAAAGACGGAUAUCGGAUUAUAUUUAUCCGAUAAAGACGAAUAUUAGAGGUGAGAUACUCUAAUAAAGACGAAACGGUACCACAUGCAUUAGAUAUGUCUAGGGCGACAUUGCAUGAAGUUGACGCAUUAGAAUGCAUUAGGUUAUGUGUACAUUUAUGUGAUAAGUGAUAUGUGACACAUACUUGGCUAAUUGUGAUAAAUGAUGAUUGAUGUUGGAUAUUCGAUUUUAUGUGUUUAUAUACUUAUAAUUGAA
rnacentral:lncRNA from 1 species